rnacentral:lncRNA from 1 species
AAGAGCAGAUAAUUGAUAGACAUGAAUACUCUGCAUUACAUGACUAAUGAGUACUUCUUUGCCUCAAAAAGAUAAAAGCUUCCCUUUCCACAAAUGCAGCUUGUUCUGAAUCUGCAUAAUAAGCUCUUUAAAAUGUGCUUUAUUCUUCUUUGAAUGGCUUAUAGGACACCCACAUAAGGUAAUGCGAAACUCCCUUUGCAGAAUGUUGUUACUUCUUUAAACGUUUUAAUGGAAAAGUGAGAAGCUUUGUUGAAAAAAUAAAAGAAACACUACUCCUUAUUUAUAAGAUAGACAAGUUGUUGUUCAUACAUUUUCAGUACAUUCAUAAUCAUUUGAAGAAUUUUUCAAUCAGUAGAA